CACAGAGAUAUCAGUUCCCGCGCUUGGGAAGGUCGCAAGAAUAUAAAGUAAACAAGAGACCUUUACAAUUUCCACGCUUGGGUGGAAAGAGAUCCAUUAUGCCAACGAAUUUCGAGACUUACACAGAUACUAAUGUUGCAGAAAUUCUUCCAGUUUUAAGCGAUGAAUUAUUAGAUAUUUUACAAAUGAGCCAAAAUGACCUAACAUCCCGUCAGGUAGACCAGGUAACAUUGCACAGGCGCACACCUGUCCAAAAAAUUGCAUGGAUAUGCUCUCUUCCUUGACUGUUGUGAAGUAAGCAAAAUGUUUUUGUAAAACUUCUUCACUGAAAUGUACAUUCAAGCUUUCUAUCUCUCCUGUCUGACGCCAUCUUGAUCGCCAUUCCUUUCAAUGAACUUCCGCCCCUUUUUUCACCCUUCAGAUGUUGAACAUGAAUGCAUGCAGGUUGAAAUAAAAAAGGAUGUUUAUGUGAAUAAAAGGAAAAUCCAGUUCCCAAGGUUGGGUCGAAAGCGAAGUUUAACAGACAGCAAAAACAGAAUUAGAGAAUAUGCAGAGAAAAUGAUACAGUCGGCGGCUUCUCAAGUCGAUCCAGACGUUCUUAUGAAACUUAAAGAAUUAAUGAACGAAGACAGUGACAACCAAACAGAUGGAGUUAUCAUUAUUUAAAGUUGUGGAACUAAUUUGCUCCAUAUACCAUUGGAAACUAAAGAAUACUUAGACCAGUCCGCUGAGAUUAUUCUCUCUCAAAAUACUACAGUAAAACUUGUCUAAUCCGGACACCAACUGGCCAGAAUGUGGAACAUUCUGGAUUACGCAACAGUUAAAAUAAUUGAAUUUACUGCAAGGGAUUUAAAGUGAACACCGUAUUUAAGACAAGAUUUUGGAUAACACAAAAUCCAGAUUAAUCAAGUUUCACUGUUUGUAUUCGGAGAAAAUUUUUAAGAGGACUAGGUUUUUGAAUGUACAAAAUUGUAACUAUUUAUUUUUAAAUAAAAUAUUUAAAACUAAGAAUACGGUUUGUUUGUGUGGUUUUUUUUUAUUUUUUGUGAUAUGAUCAAUUACCAGGAACUACUCGCAACAUUCAGCAUUUACCUGUUACCUAACAAUAUUUACAAGUUACUUA